rfam:Rattus norvegicus chromosome 13, whole genome shotgun sequence.
GGGGAUUUGGCUCAGUGGUAGAGCGCUUGCCUAGCAAGCGCAAGGCCCUGGGUUCGAUUCCCAGCUCCG